rnacentral:ncRNA from 1 species
UACUGCUGUGUCGAUAUUUUCUCCUCGGACCUUGAAAAUCUAUGGUGGGGUCACGCAAACUUCUCAACAGGCCGUACCGAUAUCCGCAGCUGGUCUCCAAGGUGAAGAGUCUCUAGUCGAUAGAAUAAUGUAGGUAAGGGAAGUCGGCAAAUUAGAUCCGUAACUUCGGGAUAAGGAUUGGCUCUGAAGAUUGAGAUGGUCGGGCUUGAUUGGGAAACAAUAUAAUGGUUAUAUGCUCGUUCUGGGUAAAUAGAAAUUUUCGGAUUUUGUUCCCCGGAUAGUAGUUAUGUAACCAAUUGUGGAACUUUCUUGCUAAUAAUUUUUAAAUGCACUUGUGUAUUUAUUAAUUUAUAACGGCCAUCAAUUAACAAUCAAUUCAGAACUGGCACGGACUUGGGGAAUCCGACUGUC